rnacentral:rRNA from 1 species
UACGUAGGGUGCAAGCGUUGUCCGGAAUUAUUGGGCGUAAAGAGCUCGUAGGCGGUUCGUCACGUCGGCUGUGAAAUCCCGAGGCUCAACCUCGGGUCUGCAGUCGAUACGGGCGGACUUGAGUACUGCAGGGGAGACUGGAAUUCCUGGUGUAGCGGUGAAAUGCGCAGAUAUCAGGAGGAACACCGGUGGCGAAGGCGGUUCUCUGGGCAUUACCUGACGCUGAGGAGCGAAAGUGUGGGGAGCGAACAGG